AAUUGUCUGGUGACGUAGUACUGUGUGCUAUUUGUUCUUCCUAUCAGUGACAGAUUGUAAUCAUUCUUGUGCGACAGAAAAAGUACUAUGCAGGAGAUUCAAGGAAUGCUGCUUCUGCUCAAGGUGUAUUGGUUUACUCAAGGAAUAAUGCACCAAAUGGCAGAAAACAGAUGAGCACUGAUAGUAAAGCGUAUUCAGGAAGCUCGUAAUGGUCGAUAUAAAAUGAGACAACGUAUCUUAUCAGCAAUUUGCUGACAUCGACCAUGAGAUGGCUGGGACAAACGCGCACCAUCGGGCAGAAAGAACAAGAUUGAUUUGUGAGUACUAUCGAAUGCGUCGCGUUUCGCCAUCAGUUUGGGUACACGAUAGAACAACUGCAUGAUGCGACAGCGUGGUUUCUACUUUUGCUGAAUUUCCAGAUGUCUAAGGAUACUUUUAUGUACCUCUGUCAUCGAUUGUAACCUCAACUAGAGAGACAAGACACAAACUACAGACUUUGUGAACCCAUCGAAAAAAGAAUCACCAUUACACUGUGGAUUUUAGCGACCAACUCCAAGUACAGAAGAAUCUCUCACUUAUUUGGAAUUGGAGUUGCUACUGUGUGUCAAUGUGUUCAUGAUUUUUGCUUUGCUGUUGAGAAGGUACUCACGCCAGAAGUUAUUAAACCAUCAAACAGUGAAAAGUUAAAAGAAAUGGCUACAAUUUUUGAAUGCAGAUGGGGGUUGCCACAGUGUGUAGGUGCAACUGAUGGGUCACACAUCCCCAUUCUUGGACCUGAGGACUUUCACACAGUAUACUUUAACCGAAAGGGCCGGCAUUCAAUCAUCCUGCAGGCUGUUGUGGAUGGAAGGGGUCUUUUUUGGAAUGUCUUUGUUGGAGCACCAGGAAGCCUGCAUGAUGCCAGAGUGCUGCGUUUGUCAGCUUAUCCUUUGAAGAUCUGGCUGAUGAAACCUUUUACAGACAACGUACAAAUGACACCUUCAAAACUUGUGUACAACCAAAAAACAAGCAGAGCCAGGGUGGUGGUGGAGAAUGCCUUUGGCAGACUAAAAAGGAAGAUGGAGGAGGUUGCUAAAACGCAAUGACUGCAAGUACGCACAAGGUCAAAUCCCUGCAUGUUGUGUUGUGCAUAACCUUUGUGAAAUGAAUGUUGAUGAGUUCAGGGAAGAAUGUGUGACCAGUGCAUUAAACCAGCCUGAUGGUGCUUCUGUCGGCCACUGUAGAGGCUGAGGGACUAGAUGCACGCACAGCUCUAAUGCAGUUUUUGACGACAACGUAGUAGGCUGCAGUAUCACUGAAAGGCUGUAAUGUGUCUUGUUUUCAUGCUGAUACACC